UUGAUUUCCCAUCCUUCAAUUUUGGCAGGCUCUAAGCCAAACUGAUGGAAGAUGGCGCUACAGCUCUGAUAAUCCAGAGUCUAGUACCUAUGCUGCUGGAUUAGCUCUCGAAGCUCUUAGUGGAGUGAUUUCACUUGCAUCUUCUGAAAUCGAUCAGAGUAAGGUCAAUAUAGUAAAAACUGGUAUAGUAAAGCUAUUUGACAGCAUCGAGAAAUAUGAUAUUUGUGGCUUCUAGAUUGAAUCUGCACUGUGUGGUUAUUGGAGGUGGUCAUAUAGGGGUGGAAUUUAGUGGUGAAUUGAGUGAUUUCAUCACGAAAGUCUUUGCCACUCAAGUUUUAAACUACGUCUUCUACAUAUCUAAA